AUAUAUUUGAAUACUUUAUACAUGUUUUCUAGAUUUGUACAUUUUUCAUUUGUUCACUGAGUGUUUCUAUCCUCUCCUAUUGUUGUCAUUCUCGGCGUACGGUGAUCUAUCUAUCUCCAUUCUCUCUCUCAGGCCGAUGGCAUCUGUUCAUUCCAACCUGAGAGAGAGAGAACUUAAUUCCUCUGAAUUAAUUUAUCCUCGUUCCCUCCAGAGUACAGGGACCUCAGCUUGUUGCGGUGUCUACAGACAGACAGACAGACAGACAGAGUUGGGUCUGGCUCAUAAAUGAUGCAUAAGGUUUAAUUGCAAACCCAGAAAUGAAUGACUUUGGACUGAUGUAGAGCAGGGGAACCAUACAUCUCUGCAAAAAUAAAUAAAUAAAGACAACUAAUUGAUGAAUAAUUAAGGCCGUGCGCAGAAGGACGGCUCGGAGCUACAGGCCAUAUUUGUGACAUUUUGUUUCAAUCAAUUCCAAAGCGCAAGUCGGGUUAGGAGGGAAAGUGCACUUAGGAGAGAGACGGCCUUGACAGAGGAACAGAGAGGAUGUCCUGAGAGAGACGGCCUUGACAGAGGAACAGAGAGGAUGUCCUGAGAGACAGCCUUGACAGAGGACCAGAGAGGAUGUCCUGAGAGACAGCCUUGACAGAGGAACAGAGAGGAUGUCCUGAGAGACGGCCUUGACAGAGGAACAGAGAGGAUGUCCUGAGAGACAGCCUUGACAGAGGACCAGAGAGGAUGUCCUGAGAGACGGCCUGGACAGAGGAACAGAGAGGAUGUCCUGAGAGACAGCCUUGACAGAGGAACAGAGAGGAUGUCCUGAGAGACGGCCUUGACAGAGGAACAGAGAGGAUGUCCUGAGAGAGACGGCCUUGACAGAGGAACAGAGAGGAUGUCCUGAGAGACGGCCUUGACAGAGGAACAGAGAGGAUGUCCUGAGAGAGACGGCCUUGACAGAGGAACAGAGAGGAGAGACGGCCUUGACAGAGGAACAGAGAGGAUGUCCUGAGAGACGGCCUUGACAGAGGAACAGAGAGGAUGUCCUGAGAGAGACGGCCUUGACAGAGGAACAGAGAGGAGAGACAGCCUUGACAGAGGAACAGAGAGAAUGUCCUGAGAGACGGCCUUGACAGAGGAACAGAGAGGAUGUCCUGAGAGAGACGGCCUUGACAGAGGAACAGAGAGGAGAGACGGCCUUGACAGAGGAACAGAGAGGAUGUCCUGAGAGACGGCCUUGACAGAGGAACAGAGAGGAGAGACGGCCUUGACAGAGGACCAGAGAGGAUGUCCUGAGAGAGACGGCCUUGACAGAGGAACAGAGAGGAGAGACAGCCUUGACAGAGGAACAGAGAGGAUGUCCUGAGAGACGGCCUUGACAGAGGAACAGAGAGGAGAGACGGCCUUGACAGAGGAACAGAGAGGAUGUCCUGAGAGAGACGGCCUUGACAGAGGAACAGAGAGGAUAGACGGCCUUGACAGAGGAACAGAGAGGAUGUCCUGAGAGACGGCCUUGACAGAGGAACAGAGAGGAUCAGAGAUGAUGCCCUGUUGGAAUAAAAGACAUCAGAUUCGUUGUCACGUAGCGUUGUAGUCAUGUAGGGUCGUAUUUAUGUAGACUCGUAGGAUCAUAGUCACGUAGGGUCGUAGUCACGUAGGGUCAUAUUCACGUAGGGUCGUAGUCACGUAGGGUCGUAGUCACGUAGGGUCGUAGUCACGUAGGAUCAUAGUCACGUAGAGUCACAGUCACAUAGGGUCAUAUUCACGUAGGGUCGUAGUCACGUAGGGUCGUAGUCACGUAGGGUCGUAGUCACGUAGGGUCGUAGUCACGUAGGAUCAUAGUCACGUAGAGUCACAGUCACAUAGGGUCAUAUUCACGUAGGGUCGUAGUCACGUAGGGUCGUAGUCACGUAGGGUCGUUGUCACGUAGGGUCGUAUUCACGUAGGGUCUUAGUUGUGUAGAGUCAUAUUCACGUAGAGUCGUAGUUAUGUAGAGUCAUAGUCACGUAGGGUCGUAGUCACGUAGAGUCGUAGUUAUGUAGAGUCGUAGUUAUGUAGAGUCGUAGUUAUGUAGGGUCGUAGUUAUGUAGGGUCGUAGUUAUGUAGGGUCGUAGUUAUGUAGGGUCGUAGUCACGUAGGGUUGUAGUUAUGUAGAGUCGUAGUCACGUAGGGUCUUAGUUAUGUAGAGUCGUAGUCACGUAGAGUCGUAGUUAUGUAGGGUCGUAGUUAUGUAGAGUCGUAGUUAUGUAGAGUCGUAGUUAUGUAGAGUCGUAGUCACGUAGGGUCGUAGUCAUGUAGAGUCGUAGUCACGUAGGGUCUUAGUUAUGUAGAGUCGUAGUUAUGUAGAGUCGUAGUUAUGUAGGGUCGUAGUUAUGUAGAGUCGUAGUUACGUAGAGUCGUAGUUACGUAGAGUCGUAGUUACGUAGAGUCGUAGUUACGUAGGGUCGUAGUUACGUAGGGUCGUAGUUACGUAGGGUCGUAGUUAUGUAGGGUCGUAGUUAUGUAGGGUCGUAGUUAUGUAGAGUCGUAGUUAUGUAGAGUCGUAGUUAUGUAGGGUCGUAGUUAUGUAGAGUCGUAGUUAUGUAGAGUCGUAGUUAUGUAGAGUCGUAGUUAUGUAGGGUCUUAGUUAUGUAGAGUCGUAGUUAUGUAGGCUUGUUGUCAUACAGGGUCACAGUCAUAUAGGUUCAUAGUCAUAUUUAAUGGGUUUUACUGAGGCCUCGAACGGACAGGCAGACAUUACUGGACCCUGCACUCACUGUCCUGUGUGUAUCAAAUGUAACUUUCCAGCCAACCAGUAGCUUCCUUAAUGUUCAGCAGUUUCUGAAAAGCAGUUGUCAAGUGAGUGUCCGUAAUAUACCAACAACACUGGCAUUGUGGAGACCACACCUGAGUGUCCAUAAUAUACCAACAACACUGGCAUUGUGGAGACCACACCUGAGUGUCCAUAAUAUACCAACAACACUGGCAUUGUGGAGACCACACCUGAGUGUCCAUAAUAUACCAACAACACUGG
rnacentral:lncRNA from 1 species